CUUUAAAUGGAGUUGGCCUAUUUGCCUCAAAGGUCCCUUUCAACUCAGGGGGAAAAAAUCUCUGAUCCUGUAAUUAAGUGGAAGGACCUGAGGCCAAAGAGGCUUAGCUGAGCAGCUCAAGAUUACACAGAUAAAGAGGGAAACUGAGGCAAAUCACCCAAGCUCACUAUAAAGUGCAAUCAGCAUCUGAAAUCUUCACUCCAAAUCCUGUAUUCCUAUCUGCCUCCUCUGUCUUGGACUCUGGGAAAUUGGUACUACCAACGUAUUUUUCCUUUUGACAUAUGAAGAAAAUAAAGUUC